CCUACGGGAGGCAGCAGUAGGGAAUAUUGCUCAAUGGGGGAAACCCUGAAGCAGCAACGCCGCGUGGAGGAUGAAGGUUUUAGGAUUGUAAACUCCUUUUGUUAGGGAAGAUUAUGACGGUAUGUCACGAAUAAGCACCGACUAACUCCGUGCCAGCAGCCGCGGUUAUACGGAGGGUGCAAACGUUACUCGGAAUCAAGGGGCGUAAAGAGUGCGAAGGCGGGGUAAUAAGUCAGAUGUGAAAUCCUGUGGCUUAACUACAGAACUGCAUUUGAAACUGUUACUCUGGAGUGUUGGAGAGGUAGGUGGAAUUCUUGGUGUAGGGGUAAAAUCCGCAGAGAUCAAGAGGAAUCCUCAUUGCGAAGGCGACCUGCUGGAACAUUACUGACGCUGAUGCACGAAAGCGUGGGGAGCAAACAGGAUUAGAUACCCUGGUAGUC
rnacentral:rRNA from 1 species